AGGGAGUCAAACAUCGACUGGAACACGCCG
rnacentral:piRNA from 1 species